rnacentral:rRNA from 1 species
AACGAACGCUGGCGGCAUGCCUAACACAUGCAAGUCGAACGAGACCUUCGGGUCUAGUGGCGCACGGGCGCGUAACGCGUGGGAACCUGCCCUUAGGUUCGGAAUAACUCCCCGAAAGGGGUGCUAAUACCGGAUAAUGUCUUCGGACCAAAGAUUUAUCGCCUUUGGAUGGGCCCGCGUUGGAUUAGCUAGUUGGCAGGGUAAAAGCCUACCAAGGCGACGAUCCAUAGCUGGUCUGAGAGGAUGAUCAGCCACACUGGGACUGAGGCACGGCCCAGACUCCUACGGGAGGCAGCAGUGGGGAAUAUUGGACAAUGGGCGAAAGCCUGAUCCAGCAAUGCCGCGUGAGUGAUGAAGGCCUUAGGGUUGUAAAGCUCUUUUACCCGGGAUGAUAAUGACAGUACCGGGAGAAUAAGCUCCGGCUAACUCCGUG